rnacentral:rRNA from 1 species
CAAUAGCGUAUAUUAAAGUUGUUGCAGUUAAAAAGCUCGUAGUUGGAUUUGUGGCGUACGGUGUGUUCCGGGCACUUGUUGUCUGAGUAACCUGCUGUUGCCAUCCUUGGGUGGAACCUGUGUGGCAUUAGGUUGUCGUGCAGGGGAUGCCCAUCAUUUACUGUGAAAAAAUUAGAGUGUUCAAAGCAGGCUUAUGCCGUUGAAUAUAUUAGCAUGGAAUAAUGAGAUAGGACUUUUUUGCUAUUUUGUUGGUUUGCGCAAAGAGGUAACGAUUAAUAGGGACAGUUGGGGGUAUUCGUAUUCCAUUGUCAGAGGUGAAAUUCUUGGAUUUUUGGAAGACGAACUACUGCGAAAGCAUUUACCAAGGAUGUUUUCAUUAA